rnacentral:rRNA from 1 species
GAUGAACGCUGGCGGCGUGCCUAAUACAUGCAAGUCGAGCGAAUGGAUUAAGAGCUUGCUCUUAUGAAGUUAGCGGCGGACGGGUGAGUAACACGUGGGUAACCUGCCCAUAAGACUGGGAUGACUCCGGGAAACCGGGGCUAAUACCGGAUAACAUUUUGAACCGCAUGGUUCGAAACUGAAAGGCGGCUUCGGCUGUCACUUAUGGAUGGACCCGCGUCGCAUUAGCUAGUUGGUGAGGUAACGGCUCACCAAGGCAACGAUGCGUAGCCGACCUGGGAGGGUGAGCGGCCACACUGGGACUGAGACACGGCCCAGACUCCUACGGGAGGCAGCAGUAGGGAAUCUUCCGCAAUGGACGAAAGUCUGACGGAGCAACGCCGCGUGAGUGAUGAAGGCUUUCGGGUCGUAAAACUCUGUUGUUAGGGAAGAACAAGUGCUAGUUGAAUAAGCUGGCACCUUGACGGUACCUAACCAGAAAGCCACGGCUAACUACGUGCCAGCCGCCGCGGUAA